CGCGUAGGCGGCUUGGCAAGUCAGAUGUGAAAGCCCCGGGCUCAACUCGGGAAUUGCAUCUGAAACUGCUUUGCUUGAGUCCUGGAGGGGAUAGUGGAAUUCCCAGUGUAGCGGUGAAAUGCGUAGAUAUUGGGAGGAACACCGGCGGCGAAGGCGGCUAUCUGGACAGUGACUGACGCUGAUGUACGAAAGCUAGGGGAGCGAACG
rnacentral:rRNA from 1 species